rnacentral:rRNA from 1 species
ACGGACGAGGCCCCUUCGGGGACCGAGUUAGUGGCGAACGGGUGAGUAACGCGUGAGGAACCUGCCUUUCAGUGGGGGACAACAGUUGGAAACGACUGCUAAUACCGCAUGAAGCAUUUAGGGGGCAUCCCCUGAAUGCCAAAGAUUUAUUGCUGAAAGAUGGCCUCGCGUCUGAUUAGCUAGUUGGAGGGGUAACGGCCCACCAAGGCGACGAUCAGUAGCCGGUCUGAGAGGAUGAACGGCCACAUUGGGACUGAGAUACGGCCCAGACUCCUACGGGAGGCAGCAGUGGGGAAUAUUGGGCAAUGGGGGAAACCCUGACCCAGCAACGCCGCGUGAAGGAAGAAGGCUUUCGGGUUGUAAACUUCUUUUACCAGGGACGAAGAAAGUGACGGUACCUGGAGAAAAAGCCACGGCUAACUACGUGCCAGCAGCCGCGGUAAUACGUAGGUGGCAAGCGUUGUCCGGAUUUACUGGGUGUAAAGGGCGUGUAGGCGGAGAUUCAAGUCAGGAGUGAAAACUAUGGGCUUAACCCAUAAACUGCUUUUGAAACUGAAUCCCUUGAGUAUCGGAGAGGCAGGCGGAACUCCUAGUGUAGCGGUGAAAUGCGUAGAUAUUAGGAGGAACACCAGUGGCGAAGGCGGCCUGCUGGACGACAACUGACGCUGAGGCGCGAAAGCGUGGGGAGCAAACAGGAUUAGAUACCC